UUACAAUUUAAAUUUCUGUGUAAUUCUGCAUAUUCAAAAACAAUACAAAAUAUACCUUACGUUAAUUUUUUAAAAAAAGUAUAUUUAUUGAUCAAAAUUUGCAGACAUAAAUUUGCUACACAGAAUUAUUUUGGUUGUUUAUAAAUAUGGAUGAGAAGCAUGGAAAAACCUAUAGACAAGUAAAAAAUAUGAAUUAAGAUCUAUUCAGGCUCCUGAGUGGUACCUCAAGAUAGACUUCCCUAUGGAAAAUAUCGCUAUCAUAAAAAUGUGAUGAGCAAAAAACCAGAAAACCCGUGUCACUAAUUAUGAAGGGCUAGUAAAAUUUGUGAUGAGUCCUCAAGUUCAUAGACUCUUGGGUGUUCCCUCGCCCUCUUAAUCCAGUUAAAGAACCCCUUUUCAAUGUAUAAACAAAAUCAUGAAAUUCCUAAAAAAAUGUGAAGCAAAUGAAAGCCGGACGAUGAGUAUGUGCGUCUUUGGAAGGUGUUACAGGAAGGACACCAGGAGAGAUUCAGGGAUGGACGCGCUCGACCUGUUUUCGAUUGAAUUCUAAGACCAACACGUCGUAUUCAUUGUCUGGUUCUUGCAAGCUACCCUAAUUUAACACCACAGAAUAAUUAUAAAUGUAUUUAUCAAUAUAUAAGCUUGUGUUUAUUAACUAAGAACAAUAUCUCUCCGUAA